CCCCCCCAUUUAACUCACACCCUGGUCUCAUCUGUCACCUUCCACCCUGAGGCCCCCAAGCCUCUCUCACACCUCUUCCAGGAAGAAGUCUCCUCUGAUGUUGAGGGUUCCAAGGGUGGGAGGUAUAGAACCUAAAACAGAGGUAAGUUCUGAACCACCACCCAAACCACUGAUGAUAUGACACCCUCCCCCACCACACACUAUGAGGAGAACUGGACCUGUGCGGGGGGAGGACAGGGCAACCAGGAAGGGAGGGUGUAAGGCAAGAGUCAGUUACCCGGAACUGUGUAAAACCAAACCAGCUUGGUUUUAAAGUCUUGAGUCUCUUUCUUGAGCUCAGAGGACCCAUCCGCCCAGGUUACCAGCCUCUUCAUCUCCAGGACCCAGACACCCAGUGCUCACCUACAUGGAGCCCUAUCGGUCCUUGGCUCUACUCACUGGCUCCCUGGGCCUGGUGUCCAUCCUGAUUGCUCUGAGUACGGAUUUCUGGUUCGUGGCCAUGGGGCCCAGCUUUACAUUUCACUCCGGCCUCUGGCCAAAGGGGGUUUAUAACAAAGUAGCAGGUAAGGGAGAGGGGUCUCUUGUUGGGGGCGGUGGGCUGCCAGAGGGGCAGGCACCAAAAUCUCACCUCCGUACAGACUACAUCCGUGCGACGCAGAGCCUCACCAUUCUGGCUAGUCUGUCGGUCCUGGUGUCGGUGAUCUUCCUGGUCCUGUCCUACAUCCCCUUACUGUCCCUUCCAGGCCACGGGCGCCUCAUCUCCUCUGUCACAGCCUUUGCUGCAGGCCUUUUUGCGAUGGUGGCCAUGGUGGUCUAUACCAGUGAGCGGUGGAACCAGCCUCACAGCCCCCAGGUCCAGACCUUCUUCUCCUGGUCCUUCUACCUGGGUUGGGUUUCGACUGUCCUGUUGCUCUGUACAGGUGACUGUUGCUCUGGGAACUGGAGGCGGUCUGGGGUCUGAGAGAGCAGAGUGGGGGCAAGCGCUAACCUCUCUCUGCCACACCAGGUAGCCUGAGUCUGAGUGCUUAUUGUAGAGCCUCCCGGCCUGGCUAUGACACCUUGUGAGCUGAAGGCGAGACCAGGAGGAAGAAGCAGUAGUCACAGAAGAUGUCGUCAGGAGCCGCAGGCACCCACAGGCCUCCCUCUAGCCCUUACCCCUAGCCCUCCUGAGACCCCUUCAUUUGUUUCUUCAUCCAUUCAACAAAAAUUUGCUGGGAUCUGGUUAAUCUUUCUUUUUUCUUUUUAAGAUUUUAGUUAUUUAUUUGUGAGAGACACAGAAAGAGGCAGAGACACAGGCAGAGGGAAAAGCAGGCUCCCUGAAGGGAGCCUGAUGUAAGAUUCGAUCCCAGGACCCUGGGGUCAUGACCUGAGCAGAAGGCAGAUGCUCAACCACUGAGCCACCCAGGCAUCCUGGAAUCUGGUUAUUCUGAGAUUAAUUCCGACACGACAUAAACUGAGCUCCAAGGUGGGGACACUAGGCACACAGAAAGGAGUCAGAACCCCCACCUGUGCUCAGGUAGCUCCCGCACACGACUGUGUGGAUUCAGGCACGGUCCCAUGUCUUUUCCUUCUCUUGCCCUUAUCUUUCUCCCUGUUUCCACCUCAAGACUCUCUGUCCUUUCUCUUUCUUCUUUAUCUUUCCAUCUCACUCCUGCUCUGAUUUUGUCACCCUGGUCUUCACUCUGGUCCUCCUUGCCCACUUCAUUAAUUCACUUACUCCUUCAGCUGGCUUUUCCUGAGCUCAUCUUUCCUGCUGGGUCUCACUGGGGUGCUGAUGGUAAUCUGACUUGGGCCUUGCCCACUAGGGCUGCUAGUCCUGGUUGGGGAAAUUGAGACCACAGGUAGAGUCCAGGAUGGUGGGAAGAAAGACUGUUGGGGGUGGUGAAGGUGAGCUUUUCUGGGGAGAGGGUGUUUAGGGGCUUCUUGAGGGCCAAGGAGAGGUCAUCCAGGCAGAGGGACAC
rnacentral:lncRNA from 12 species